rnacentral:rRNA from 1 species
CUACCGGGGUAUCUAAUCCUGUUUGCUACCCACGCUUUCGAGCAUGAACGUCAGUAUUAUCCCAGGGGGCUGCCUUCGCCAUCGGUAUUCCUCCACAUCUCUACGCAUUUCACUGCUACACGUGGAAUUCUACCCCCCUCUGACAUACUCUAGCUACCCAGUUCAGAACGCAGUUCCCAGGUUGAGCCCGGGGAUUUCACAUCCUGCUUAAGUAACCGUCUGCGCUCGCUUUACGCCCAGUAAUUCCGAUUAACGCUCGCACCCUACGUAUUACCGCGGCUGCUGGCAC